rnacentral:rRNA from 1 species
UACGUAGGGGGCAAGCGUUGUCCGGAAUUAUUGGGCGUAAAGAGCUCGUAGGCGGUCUGUCGCGUCGGCUGUGAAAACCCGGAGCUCAACUCCGGGCCUGCAGUCGAUACGGGCAAACUGGAGUACUGCAGGGGAGACUGGAAUUCCUGGUGUAGCGGUGAAAUGACGCAGAUAUCAGGAGGAACACCGGUGGCGAAGGCGGGUCUCUGGGCAGUAACUGACGCUGAGGAGCGAAAGCGUGGGGAGCGAACAGG